CAGGAAAAUUUUGAGCAGUCCAUUCCUGUUAAAUAACAGCUUAGAAUAAAUUUAAAGAAUAA
rnacentral:ncRNA from 1 species